rnacentral:rRNA from 1 species
GAUGAACGCUGGCGGCGUGCUUAACACAUGCAAAUCGAACGGAAAGGCUCCUGCUUGCAGGGGUACUCGAGUGGCGAACGGGUGAGUAACACGUGGGUGAUCUGCCCAGCACUUCGGGAUAAGCCUGGGAAACUGGGUCUAAUACCGGAUAGGACGAUGGUUUGGAUGCCAUUGUGGAAAGUUUUUUCGGUGUGGGAUGAGCUCGCGGCCUAUCAGCUUGUUGGUGGGGUAAUGGCCUACCAAGGCGUCGACGGGUAGCCGGCCUGAGAGGGUGUACGGCCACAUUGGGACUGAGAUACGGCCCAGACUCCUACGGGAGGCAGCAGUGGGGAAUAUUGCACAAUGGGCGCAAGCCUGAUGCAGCGACGCCGCGUGGGGGAUGACGGCCUUCGGGUUGUAAACUCCUUUCGCUAGGGACGAAGCGCAAGUGACGGUACCUGGAGAAGAAGCACCGGCUAACUACGUG